UUACCCAAAAAUAUAAGUAUUUACUGUAUUUCUUUUCUGUUUGUUCUGAAAGCUUCACACUGUUGAUUUAGAUAAGCUUGAAUAGAAACAGAUUGGGACACCAGUAAUCCAGGAUAUUAUUUUUGAUUGGGCAAAGUAGAUUUAUUAAGAAAAGGAGAUAAAACUGUUGUGCCAUGGCUUUCAAAAAUGUUCUGUGCUUCAAAGAAAAAACACUUAUCUGACUAGUGCAGGAUGGGCCUGAACGUGGUGAUGACAAGCAUGACAUGGAACGUUGCUCACUGGAGCUCAGGUCAGGCUGGAGUUCCUUCUGCAGGGACUUUUCUGUCCUGCUGUAAUGCAAGUGCACAUCUGAUAGUGCUGCUGUAUUAUAUUCUGGAGCAAAUGAAAUCUGCCAGCCAUUAUUUCAGUAUCUACAAGUAAUUGCUUCAUACUUGCACAAAUCUUUACAGGUUAUAAAAAGUUACCAGUUUCUCAAAGGGAGUUCUGUAGUGUUGUGUCAUACUUAGGUUUUUUAAUUGAGUAUGCUUUCACAACAUGGGUGAUUCAGAAGUGUACAUUAUUGGAUCAUAAUCAUAAGAAUGAGCUGAAUUCUGUCACUUUCAUGUACACUAAGUUGAAAAUAACUGGGGUUUAAAAGGAUUAUUGCCAGGCCAAUGAACGUUUCAGAAAAGGAAGCUUUAUCUGGAAAGCUGCAAGUAUAGAGGCUGCACACUGACACAGUAAUGACCAUUUAUGUUUCUAAUAGUGAUUACAAAUAUUUUCCCUGAAAUUUUGGAUGAUUAUUCUUAUCCAAUUGUAUGUUUGUGAGUGCUUUUUGACUUAUAUUUUGGGAGUUAAAUUACAGAGCUAGAUAGACUGUGUGCUACUACUAUUCUGCCAGAAAUGCCCAAAUGGAAUUUCCAAAGACAGCCUGUGAAAUUGCCCUAUGGCCAGGAGCUCAAACACAUUGAUUGCUAUUCCUGGAUAAUUAGGGUGUAACCUCUUUCCUCCCUGCUUCACUUUUCCAUUUGCAAAAAGACCAGUAUUAAUAAACACUUUGAUAAGAUUUUUUUUCAAAUAUGUUAGAUUAAGCUCUAAGUGGCAUCUUCCUUUCAUAGCAUGUACACUGCUCUUGUUUCCAGUAACACAGAAAAAUGCAGUUUCAUCUCAUCUCUAUGGCUACGUGGUGUUAUGCAAUGCGACUUUUGAAAAAUUGUAGUUUAAUUUUUUUCAAGGUAAAUUAAUCCUUUUCUUCAGUCUCAGGGAGAAGCAAAAUACUGAAAAUAAUAGUAUUAGAAAGGCUACAUGGUUCUUCAUGUGUAUGAUAUAUAAUACUUCAUAAGUGAUUUAAAUAAUUGGCAAAUUGAAGGACUGAAGCUUUGCAUAAAAGCUUCUCUGAAAGGGAUUCCUUACCCAGGCCUUGCUGUAUACACUUCACCCCUGAUAGCUGCAGUAUAGAAGGUGUGGUUGUCUGAAUGAUCUCUCCCUUUCUAUAUACAUAUCUAGAGAGAGAGAUAAUAGAUAGAAGGGACCUUCUGCCUGUGUGUCUUUUUUUACUUCCACCUCUUCCCUAUGAAAAAGGAAUGACUGUGUUUUCUUCUCUCGUGCUAAGGAAAUCAACAACAUAGAACACUUGAGAACUUUCUGAAUGACUUUUGUAUACCUGUGAAGUUUGAAUAAGCCAAAUAACACCACCAUGGGAUUAAACUAAAUUUUAAGGCCACUUGAAGUGUCAUGGAGAUCAUAAAAUGCUUACACAUUUAACUCUUGGUUUGGUGAAUGAAAAGAUGAUGUCUGUGACAAUUAGAACUUUUUGUCAUGGGUGCUAAAUUAAAAAAAAAGGGAGAAAAAUAGGGGCAGUGUGAGUGCUGACUGCCUAAAGGACUGAAGCUGCUGAGCAAUUUAUGAGGAACUGAUUUAUGAGAGUUCCAAGCUCAAAAUACAUUCUAUAGGUGCUUCAGAAACACAGCUAUUUUUGUCUUCCUAAUAAGUAUGAUAUGGCAAUGAAGACUUUGUAUUCCCUCCUUCCAUCUGUGUUCUACACCCAUCUGUCAUACUUUAUCCCUGUUUAGAUUGAAAAUGUUCCUGAUUUAUGCAGUGUUUGUAUUUACCAACUAAACAACCAAUAGGCUGCAUGUGACAGAAGCUGCGGACCCAUGGAUGUCGUCCCUUGGCAGGAGGGCCCCUGUUGCAAGAGGCCAUUUUAAUUCUUGGAGUUGCUAAAUUCUAAUGCUUAUCACGAAAUAACUAAGAAGAAGCACAGUUGCACUCUACUGUCCUUAGGACACACCACUUCUGAAUAACAACAGAUCGUCCAAAGGAUGUCUGGAAUCAACUGAGUGACCAGAAUGAAUACUUGAUACCAGUGCACUGACAGGAGCAUACAUGUUUCUUCACCCUUAAAGGUCUGUCUUUGGAGGAAUACCAGAUUUUGCCUACUGGAAGAAUGCAGUGAAACUGCCAAUAUUUCUAGCCGGAAUUAUAAAUUUAAUAUUCAACUUUAGUGUUACUAGUUUCUUACUAAAUAGUACCUCAAAGUAGAAAAAAAUGUAUGGAAGUGCAAGAACAAUCAGCAACUUGGAAGGAAGUCCCUCCAGGUCUCCCCGCCUGCCGAGGUCCCCUCGCCUGGGCCACAGGCGAACCAGCAGCGGGGGAGGAGGGACGGGGAAGACGUUAUCCAUGGAGAACAUCCAGUCCCUUAACGCAGCCUAUGCAACAUCUGGACCAAUGUACCUGAGUGACCACGAGGGUGUAGCUUCUACUACUUUCCCAAAGGGCACAAUGACUCUUGGAAGGGCUACAAAUCGAGCUGUGUAUGGUGGCCGAGUCACAGCCAUGGGGAGCAGCCCCAAUAUUGCUUCUGCUGGACUGUCACACACUGAUGUCCUUUCUUACACCGACCAGCAUGGAGGGCUGACCACAUCCUCACACCACCACCACCACCAGGUUCCUUCCAUGCUGAGACAGGUUAGAGAUAGCACCAUGUUAGACCUGCAGGCUCAGCUUAAGGAUCUACAGAGGGAGAAUGACCUUCUCAGAAAAGAACUAGACAUUAAGGACAGCAAGCUGGGGUCCUCUAUGAACAGCAUCAAAACUUUCUGGAGUCCUGAGCUAAAGAAAGAGAGAGUAUUGAGGAAAGAAGAAGCAGCCAGAAUGUCAGUUCUUAAAGAACAAAUGAGAGUUUCCCAUGAAGAAAAUCAGUUUUUGGAUGCCAGAAGAACAAAGCAUCUGCAAUUGACAAUCCAGGCACUUCAAGAUGAGCUUAGAACCCAGAGAGACCUUAACCAUCUUCUCCAGCAAGAAAGUGGGAACCGAGGGGCUGAGCAUUUUACCAUUGAGCUCACAGAGGAGAAUUUUCGAAGACUUCAGGCAGAACAUGAUAGACAAGCUAAAGAGCUCUUCCUGUUGAGAAAAACUCUAGAAGAAAUGGAGCUUAGGAUUGAAACACAAAAGCAAACACUAAAUGCCAGAGACGAAUCAAUAAAAAAGCUUCUAGAGAUGUUGCAAAGUAAAGGUUUGCCUUCUAAAGGAAUGGAAGAUGACAAUGAGAGAACUCGAAGGAUGGCAGAGGCUGAAUCUCAGGUUAAUCAUUUAGAAGUGAUUUUAGAUCAGAAGGAGAAGGAAAACAUGCAUCUUAGAGAGGAAUUGCAUAGAAGAACCCAACUUCAGCCUGAGCCAGCAAAGACGAAGGCUCUGCAAACAGUUAUCGAAAUGAAGGAUACAAAAAUAGCUUCACUUGAGCGCAAUAUAAGAGAUCUUGAAGAUGAAAUACAGAUGUUAAAGACAAAUGGAGUUCUGAAUACAGAGGACCGAGAAGAAGAAAUCAAACAAAUAGAAGUUUACAAGAGUCACUCAAAGUUCAUGAAAAAUAAGAUUGAUCAACUGAAACAAGAACUCUCAAAGAAAGAAUCAGAACUUCUUGCCUUACAAACUAAGCUUGAAACCCUUAGCAAUCAGAAUUCAGAUUGCAAGCAACACAUUGAAGUGCUUAAAGAGUCCCUUACUGCCAAAGAACAGAGAGCUGCCAUACUUCAGACAGAGGUUGAUGCCUUGCGGUUACGAUUGGAAGAGAAAGAAACCUUUCUGAAUAAAAAAACAAAACAACUUCAAGACCUCACAGAAGAGAAAGGAACCCUUGCUGGAGAAAUUCGAGAUAUGAAAGACAUGUUGGAAGUAAAAGAAAGAAAAAUUAAUGUCCUUCAGAAAAAGAUUGAAAAUCUACAGGAGCAACUUAGGGACAAAGACAAACAACUAACUAAUCUAAAAGACAGAGUGAAGUCGCUGCAGACAGAUUCCAGUAACACAGACACAGCACUAGCAACCUUAGAGGAAGCUCUAUCAGAAAAGGAAAGAAUAAUAGAGCGUCUGAAGGAGCAAAGGGAUCGAGACGACAGAGAAAGACUUGAAGAAAUUGAAUCUUAUAAAAAAGAAAACAAGGACCUGAAGGAGAAAGUUAAUGCUUUACAAGCUGAAUUGACAGAAAAAGAGUCUAGUUUAAUCGAUCUCAAAGAACAUGCAUCUUCAUUGGCUUCAGCAGGGCUGAAAAGAGACUCCAAACUUAAGUCUUUAGAAAUAGCCAUAGAACAAAAGAAAGAAGAGUGUAGUAAGUUGGAAGCACAGUUGAAAAAGCAAGCUGAGCAGUUGUUCAAUCAGAUGUACAAUCCAAUGCCAAUUAGGAAUAAUGGGAAGCAAGGGGCUCAUGAAGCUGAAGAGGAGGCACGGAUGAAUCCAGAAUUUGCAGACAGAAUGAAACAGCUUGACAAAGAGGCAUCGUACUAUAGAGAAGAAUGUGGCAAAGCUCAGGCUGAGGUUGACAGACUUCUAGAAAUACUCAAGGAAGUAGAGAAUGAGAAGAAUGACAAAGAUAAGAAAAUUGCUGAGUUAGAAAGCUUGACUUCCAGACAUAUGAAGGACCAAAGCAAGAAGGUUGCCAAUCUGAAGCACAAUCAGCAAUUGGAGAAAAAGAAGAAUGCACAGCUGUUGGAAGAAGUUCGUAGGCGAGAGGACAACAUGACGGACAACUCCCAACAUUUACAAGUGGAAGAGCUGAUGAAUGCACUGGAAAAGACUAGACAAGAAUUAGAUUCCACCAAAGCCCGUCUUGCCUCAACACAGCAGUCUUUGGCUGAAAAAGAAGCACAUCUGGCUAACCUGAGAAUAGAGCGAAGGAAACAGCUUGAAGAAAUUCUAGAAAUGAAACAGGAAGCUUUGCUUGCUGCAAUUAGUGAAAAAGAUGCAAAUAUUGCCUUGCUUGAGCUGUCUGCUUCAAAGAAAAAGAAGACUCAAGAUGAAGUAAUGGCUCUUAAACGAGAGAAGGACAGAUUAGUACAUCAGUUAAAACAGCAGACACAAAACAGAAUGAAGCUGAUGGCAGAUAACUAUGAUGAUGACCAUCACCACUACCACCACCAUCACCACCACCACCACCAUCGAUCUCCUGGGAGGACACAACACAACCACAGACCCUCUCCAGAUCAGGAUGAUGAGGAGGGUAUAUGGGCAUAGCCGUUCCUAUAAACCAAAGUUCCAGUUUUGUUUUGAGGGAUGAUCCAGUCACUGUUGGAGGCACAUAGCCACGGCAAAAUCUCAUGCUGUACAUUGAUCACCUGUCCAACCUUUGCCUAGAGUGUGAUCCCCAGUUCCUUCAAGAGAUCCAUCUUUACCUGUCUAUAAAGAAGAAGAGGAGGAGGGAGACACCUGGGAUAUUCAAGUAUCAAAGUUUAACACCAGAGCAGUUGUCAGAGGAACUAGUGAAAAAGGAAGAAAAAACUGUAGCACUGGAAGGUAACAAUGAUAAUCUAUUGCAUUGGAUCUCCAAACAUGACCAUGAUAUCCUGGAGAAGAUUGCAGAUGCAGAAAAUGAAUGCUAAGGUUGACAUCUAAAGAAAUGCUGCAUUAAUUGGCAUUUUCUCCAUUAUUUCUUGUAGUCUUUUGUGAAAUUAGAUACUUUGGAAAAUAAUGAAGGAGACUCAAGCAGAAAUUAUAAGAGCUUCAUUUCUGUCUUUAAUGGGUCUUGUGAGUUAUCUGUUUUUACAAAGAAACCACCUGUUCAGAAUAUGAUUGUUCGGUGAAGUUCAGUUAAACAGGUUAUUUAGCUAAUUUUUGGUAAAUUAAUAUUGAUUUUAAUAAGUAAUUCAGAUUCCCUUAGAUGUGGUAUCUGCAUUUGCUGAUUUUACCUAGUCUAUUCUAAAGUAUCACUUCUAUUGCACUAGAUUAUCAAAGAGGUAUUAGUAAAAUGCUAUAUAAGGAUGUUGGCAUUAACUUUACCCCCAGUUAGAUAUGGGCUUUUCCAAAAAUUAAAAACAAGCCUUUACCCUCCUCUGUUUUCUUUUAUCUAUUGAUAAAAUAAUAUAAAUUUAAAACAAACCAAAACCAAAUAUUGAUACUAUAACCGGUAUUAAGCUCUGGGCCAGGUUGGAAAUGAAAUCAAUUUUUGGUACUAAUAAAUGAUGACAAAGAUUAGUUUUAUGAAAAUAUGGUGUGUGUCUCUGACAAUGCAUAGGACAUCUAAUUUGAACAUAAAUAUAUGAUUAUAUACAAGAUGUAUCUAUUCCUGGAUGGUAAAAGCUUGAGGUGUAUAUAAAUACAUAUGUAUGUAUAUAUAUGGACAUGUACACAAGGAUGUAUCAACCUUUUACCAUCCAAAUGCAUACAUGUUUUCAACAAUAAAAGCUGGGACUCUUAAGAAAACAAACAAAAAUAAAGAUGAGAUUGCUGUGAAUACAGUAUAUGCACUAGGUCUCCUGUAAAUGUGGAACUGUUUGUUAUUGUUCUCUACACUGAAAAACAGUCUCCAACAUGGACCCCAAUGAAUCUUAGCUGUUAAAGAAAAUACCAAUGAACAAACAGCACUCGAAGGCUGUUUGUGUCAACAAAAUGUGUCUAGUAAAAUAAAUUUAAAGCACAUGCAAGGAAAAAUAAAAAUGUGAAGUCGUUACAUUUGGUGAGAGACUCUUAACUGACAGUCAGAUCUCUACCACUUCUCAAGGAGAGGUUCCUUCUGACUCCAAAAACAUUUUCAGUCAGUCUGGCAAACAUGUGCAAAUGUUUGGCUGUUUUGUUGAGGCAUCUUUUUGUCCAUGGAAGAAAUGCUUCCGUGCUGAUGGCAGUGGAAAUAGAAUAUCUGCAUUUUUAAAGGACAAACAAUAAAUUUAAGCAUGGGUGGCCUUAAUCCUUUGUAGUUUUUCUUUGCUGCUGUAAAAAAAAAAGAAAAAAAAAAGAAAAAAAAAAAAAAAGAAAUCUAAAUGUAUACUCUAAAGUCUUGCACUGAAUUUAGAAAAAUUAUUUUUUGAACCUGUGGUGCGAUUAACCCUAAACAUCCUACAUGAGCCAUACAUAGCAAUCCCCUUAAAAUUAUUGUCUAGAGAUGAUAUUUUAUUUAUCUGUACCAUAAUUCUCGGUGCAAUCAAAGAACAAUUUAUUUGAGCAGGAGUCCUGCUGGAUGUUACUGUCUUCAGUAAAAAAAGUAAAAUGUAUAGGCUUAGCAUAGCAUAGAUAAUCCCAAUUUCAUUCAUGUUUAAAAAGUUUGUCCUUUAACUAUCAAUGGCAUUUUAGAUCUUUGUUUUUGAAACAGCAAAGCUUUUGGGAGUAUAUUUAGCACAUAUGACAAAUGUUGCACUUGGAAACUCAGACAACAAAACUGGUUUCUCACGACAAAUUUGUUGUCGCAGUAGGGGACAAUCGUCUGUGUCUCUUACAAUCAGGUCUUUACCUUAACUCUGCAACCGAAUACUUGAAGUAGGAUAUAAACUAGGGGGAAAAUAGGGUCACAGAUACAAAGCUGUAUAGUUAGAUAUUUAUAUGUAUGUGCCAAUUUUGUCACAGGUAUUAUUUUAGGGGCAUUUUUGCUCCACUCAUGUUGGUAUGAGUAUUGAUCUAAACUUUUAUCAGGGCCUAAAAGUUAGCCCCUAAAGAGGAAAAUUUUGUCUAACAUUGAUUUUUUCUUUCUUGCUUUGGGUUUUGUUUUGGGUUGUUUUUUUGGUUUUUUUUUUUUCCCUCCUUUUCAUGUCAUGUGAUAUUCCAUGAUGUUUGGAGAAAAUCUUUUCAUAUACUAAAAUAGAAUCUCGGGGUUUACAAUAAACACUGUGAUGUUGGGAAAUAUUUUAUUUGAGCAAUGUUUGGUAGAUUUUCUUUCCCCCCCCCCCUUUAAGUGUAAUGAAGUAAACCAACUUUUGCUUAACAUUUAAGAUAAUGGUUAUUAUUUUAAUGUGAGAUCAGUCUUGUACUGCACAUUCUUUCUUUCAUUUAAAUGUACAGUAUGAAUUUUGUAUUUAAUGAAUUUUGUGUAUCCAGUAUGCACGUACCUGAGCAUUGACUUUCAUUUGAAAGUGGGUUUCAAUUUACUUUUUAAACAGUGUUUAUGAAAAGACCUCAGAUGUGUUGACACCAACUAUAUCCGCAAUGUUUCUUUUGUGUGUGUAGGGUGACGUUUGAAUGUGAUGUUCUGCAGCAAUGGGUCAGUAUCCCCUAUUUACCUUAGAUCCUCAUUUGAUAGCGCUUCUUGUAAUAAUUUUUUCAAGUGAGUGGCAUGUUCUGGAUUGUGAUAUUGAUAUAUGGUUAAGGACAUUGAUAUGAAACUAAGGAAUUCCUAGAAAUUACCAGUGGGCAUGUAUUAGACAGUCAUUGUAAUUUAAUGUCUUGUAGAAGUGUAAAGUACCAAGGUAUUUAGAGUUCAUAACAUUGUUAUCAUGUGUAUGGGAAGUAUUUAGUGUUGAUCAGCUUGUUUAUUUUCAUCAAAUAAACUUUGUUUCUUUCUGAAA